rnacentral:rRNA from 1 species
UACGUAGGCAGCAAGCGUUGUUCGGAGUUACUGGGCGUAAAGGGUGCGUAGGCGGUCCUAUAAGUAUGGUGGGAAAUCUCCCGGCUUAACUGGGAGGGUGCGCUAUAGACUGUGGGACUAGAGUGUGGGAGAGGAAAGUGGAAUUCCUGGUGUAGCGGUGAAAUGCGUAGAUAUCAGGAGGAACACCGGUGGUGUAAACGGCUUUCUGGACCAUAACUGACGCUGAGGCACGAAAGCGUGGGUAGCAAACAGG